rnacentral:lncRNA from 1 species
CCGCGCUCCGGCCUAGCUCUGGGGACCACGCCGCGUGCCCUCGCGAGGACUCUGGCCCAGUCCCUCCUUGGUGGAGAGCCUGACACCGCUGCUCUGGGACUUCCCGGCUGCGCCCUCCCCCAGCGCCAGGAAAGCAAGCUGCGUAAAGGCUGCGGCAGUCUCGGUCUCCCGGAGCUCUUGGGAGCCUGGCCCCGCCCCUUUCCCGGUGAUUGAUGUGUGCUGCCUCUUUCUGGGUGAUUUACAUGUAAUGCCCCGCCCCUUUCGGGAUGAUUACGUGUGCCUCGACCUUUAGGUGAUUUACAUGUAGUGCCCCGCCCCGUUCCCGGUGAUUUACAUGUGGUGCCCCGCCCCUUUCCCGGUGAUACCUGUGUGCCCCGCCCAUGAGGGGACGUCUUUAAAGAACCUGGACCCGCCCUCAGUCCAAGUGAUUUACAUUUGCGGCCCCGCCCCUCUGGGAAACUUACGAGAACCUGGCCCCUCAGUCCAAAUCAUUUGCAUGUUCGGCCCCAUCCCUCGGGGGCCUUAAAGAACCAAGAUGCCUGCGGACCCUUCCCCCACGGAGACCAGGCCCCUACUGCUCUAAAAGUGUUCUCAGACACUUCCCUCUGCAGCCGCUCCCAGAGUAAACGGCGGCUCCGCCGGGUCGGAGUCCACCUGAGGCGUUCAGGGCCAGAAAGACUCCUGGGGCUGCAGCACUCUGCAGCCCCGCCUCGGCUGGCCCCGCGGUGGCUGAGUCUGGCCCGGCCCCAGGACCACGUCCGGCCGGCGGUGGCGCACAGUAUUUGACGAAUGGGACUGCGGGAGCCGCCGCCUCUGCAAGGGGCACCGCCUGGCCACGCCCUCGGGCUCUCUUAAAGGAGCCGCACCCCCACCCCAGGGCAAUCAUCGGACCCGGACCAGGCCUCCGGGUGACACAUCCGGCUCUCAGAGGCGCCAGGACCCUAUCAUUCAUCCCUUUCCACGUGCAAAGUGAAAAGUCAGAGCCCGGGCACACACCUUGGCCGUUUAUGUAUACAGAAGUGGGGUGCCGGGCGGGA